rnacentral:rRNA from 1 species
AUUGAACGCUGGCGGCAUGCUUUACACGUGCAAGUCGAACGGCAGCGCGGGGGCAACCCUGGCGGCGAGUGGCGAACGGGUGAGUAAUGCAUCGGAACGUAUCCUGUAAUGGGGGAUAACUAAUCGAAAGAUUAGCUAAUACCGCAUACGCUCGGGAGAGGAAAGUGGGGGAUCGCAAGACCUCACGUUAUAGGAGCGGCCGAUGUCUGAUUAGCUAGUUGGUGAGGUAAAGGCUCACCAAGGCGACGAUCAGUAGCUGGUCUUAGAGGAUGAUCAGCCACACUGGGACUGAGACACGGCCCAGACUCCUACGGGAGGCAGCAGUGGGGAAUUUUGGACAAUGGGGGCAACCCUGAUCCAGCCAUGCCGCGUGCGGGAAGAAGGCCUUCGGGUUGUAAACCGCUUUAGUCUAGGAAAAAGGAAUGCAGGAUUAAUACCCUUGUGUUUUGAUGGUACUGGAAGAAUAAGCACCGGCUAACUACGUGCCAGCAGCCGCCGUAA